ACAUUUGAUGAAGUUUCUCCUUUAGAAGACAUGCAAGAUGUAAAAAGCCAGCUGGAAAAUAAUUUGCAAGUUUACAUUACUAUGUUGAUAAUGAUUUUCUCAAUUUCUGGUGUUCUACCUCCGCAUGUAGAUUUUAUCAUCUGUGACCUUAGAAGAUAAAAUAUAUCAACAUUCCUCAGCCAA